rnacentral:rRNA from 1 species
CCUACGGGCGGCAGCAGUGGGGAAUAUUGGACAAUGGGCGAAAGCCUGAUCCAGCCAUGCCGCGUGUGUGAAGAAGGCCUUCGGGUUGUAAAGCACUUUCAGUGGGGAAGAAAGCCUUGGGGCUAAUACCCUCGAGGAAGGACAUCACCCACAGAAGAAGCACCGGCUAACUCCGUGCCAGCAGCCGCGGUAAUACGGAGGGUGCGAGCGUUAAUCGGAAUUACUGGGCGUAAAGCGCGCGUAGGCGGUCUGAUAAGCCGGUUGUGAAAGCCCCGGGCUCAACCUGGGAACGGCAUCCGGAACGGUCAGGCUAGAGUGCAGGAGAGGAAGGUAGAAUUCCCGGUGUAGCGGUGAAAUGCGUAGAGAUCGGGAGGAAUACCAGUGGCGAAGGCGGCCUUCUGGACUGACACUGACGCUGAGGUGCGAAAGCGUGGGUAGCAAACAGGAUUAGAUACCCCGGUAGUC